rnacentral:rRNA from 1 species
AUGCCCAGACAAGAAUCAGUCGACCAGUCGGCAGGAUUAACAGAAAUGAAUACGACAAGGGCGCAGUGGAGAGCAGAGCAAGUGUACCUUGUUUGGGUCGCUGUUGUGGUCGAGUGGAGGAAUCCUUCUGGCUCCGCGCGGGUUGUCCUUGUUUCCGGUAACGGCUACCAUCCAUCUUUCCAGAGUGACGUCGUCGACUGCUUCUGGAUGGACUCUAGUCUCGUCUUCGGUCCCACAGUACAACCACAUGCAGUGGCUCCGGAAUUGAAGGGGUUGGAUGCGACGCCUGAGGAAGACCUCCAGAAGAUCCAUGCCCGUCACCCCCUCCCGAACCAACUGCACCACGCGCUCCAUCAACAUCUUCACGUCGGCUUUCUCCUCCGGAAUCAGCUUCAGAGGGGAGGGCUUGUUCACUCGGUCCAUGGUAAACGGAGGGAGUCCACUCGACUGCCCUGGCGUCGACUGGACCUGGCAGUAGAACCAAGUCGACUGCCAGCCUCUGACGGACUCGGGAAAGGUCAUGGGCGGGAAGGUGCUCUUAUUCCUCACCUGGAUCCCCAGGCCCCCACACAUUUGGACGACUCGGGUUUUCUCAUCACCUGGGCUCGCCUUCUUCACGGUCUGAGAGCGACACGUGAAGAUAUGUUUGAACAAACCCCAGUGCGGUCGACAGCCCAAGAAACCCUCACACAUGGACACGAAUGCAGCAAGAUAGGCAAUGGAGUUUGGGGUAAAGUGGUGAAGUUGCGCUCCAAAGAAAUUCAAGAAGCCACGGAAGAAAAUACUUGGCGGCAAGGAAAACCCACGAUCAACAUGAGUGGCCAAAAGCACACACUCACCCUCUUCUGGCUGUGGAUGCCACUCCUCCCCCGGCAACCUCGCAGCUCCGUGGGGAAUCAAGCCCUCGUUGGCCAUGUCGAGGAGGUCCUUCUCUGUGAUGGUCGACUGGAUCUAGUCUCCUUGGACCCAGCCCUUCGGCAGGCGGGACCUGGACGAGGACCCUCCGCGGCUGGUGGAUCUCCCCUUCGCCUUCUCCGACGCCGACGCCUUCUUGGCGCGCUCCAGCACCGCCGUCUUCUCCUUGGCCAUGGUCGCCGGAGAGAUGCGCGAAGGGAAGUGGUGCGGGGGCGAGAGCGAGCACGCUGA